GCGCCGCUGCGCGAGGAGGUACCUGCCCAGGUUCCCGGGCUCGCUGCCCCUGCGCCGCCUCCUCCGCCCCCUGCCCUUGUUCCUGUCCUGCGGGCCGCGGAGGCUGCGGCAAGAGCGGCGGCCCGGCAAGUCCUGGCGGCGGUCGCUGCCGUCCCGCGGGACCCGCCGCGGCCCCCGGUUCGGGUUCCACCAGAUGGUGCUAGGGUCGUAGGGCGCCGGCGUCCUGCACAUGGAGUAGUCCCAGUUGUUGACGUUGAGCGGGAAGCUAGUGCAGACCGACCUCGCGUCGCUCCUGCCGUGGGCGGGAUAGGUGGGGAACCUUUUUGAUGGGCACCUUGUCAAAUAACUGUCUUUACAAGGACUUUCACUUGGUCAUUCCGGUCGACUACAUCUGCUAUGGGGCAAAUGCGAUCAUCUUCUGGACUUUCCUAACUGUCUCAAUCAAUUGUUCAACUUCCUACAUUUACUUAAACGACAGCUAAACCUCGUGUUAGUUAUAUCCAGUAAAGUCCCAAACUGGACGAACUACGUCUAAAGUUGUUCUUGUCUCCUGAAGUAAUAGCUGUGGGAAUUCGAUGCGUAUAUGUAGCCAAGAAUGAACUUUCUUGAAAAGUUUCUAGGUUGGUUCUCUUUCCAUUACGUACCCCGUCUAGCACUAUAUUACACCGAGGUCGCCCUGAAGGCUCAUAUACACACGUUAGAAAAACUGUGUCCUGUCCGAAGUUCCCAAAAUGUCUACCUUGCUUUGUCGGAUCUUGUGGAUAAUGUAGUAAAGACACCUCAGUGUCGCUUAUUUUAUAUAGUUUUACGUCUAACCUCCAGUUCCGGUGAGAGACUACUUUACUAGUUCAUACGCUCUCUUCUAUGUGUAAUAGACAACAUAUAUAUACUGAACUACUCUGAAUCUGAUGUUUCCCUCAGGUGUACACUUUUGCUAGAAGAAAAUCUCCAAGUUUUCGCGUCAUUACUAUAAACGAAUGUCAACAUACUUUUCCUCGACGACUGUCUAUUUAGAAUGGAGGUGUAUAUGCCCAACGUCCUUGUACUUAACCGGCGUCGAGUCGACCGACAACAAAGACGAGAUGUAGUCACCUCUCUAAUAUAUCGAGCACUUGUUCUACUCUCGUGACCAAUACAUAACGGUUUGUUCCGAAACUAACUCUAUCGUUUCUUCUACGGAUGUUGGUGACGUCUAAACGCUUCUUAGCACUUUUGUUUUAUAGGUACACAACUCCUAUUAAAACUGGAUUAGAACCUGUAGUAUACCUUACGUUGACUUUUAAGACCACGGAAACUUCGUUAUCGACUCGUUGAUUUCUUUCAUGCUGAACCACUCAAUCUGAACUUUUCAUAUGACCUGUGACCACUUCAAUAGCUUUACCGAGGAAGCCUACGACUAUUACAACCCUAGUCAAAACUAGGUCGACUAGUUAUAAGAAAUCGAGGAAGUAGUUGACGUUUAUAGUCCCAAUGAAGAUUGUCAUCCCUAUCAAAAUACUGACUACGUUGAAACUGACCAUCGUAGACCGAUGUGCUGUUUUGGAGUUGGUAUGGUAGUAGUCUUUUAUCCUGCAGAACCCCGAAUAGUCCGGACUGAUCUGUUAGUUUGUUCCUUCACUACUCGUUAUUAUUCGUCCUCUGUGUCCGAGGACAAGUUCUUGACUUCUCUGGAAGCGGAAAACCUCGAGACCAUCCGUUAAGUUGUAGACCUUCUGUCUGUCUAAUGAAACCUCCUAAAAGUUUACUCGUCCGAUUUUCGCUGCAACUAGUCUAAGUCAGAAGUCGAAUAAUGAUGGGGGUCAAGAGUCUGAUGUCGUCAAAUCGACCUACCUCGGUAGUACUUGGGCUUGCGUGUGUCCGGAGACCCAAGUACAGACCAACGAUAAUGCCCGUACCGAUGGUCAGCUAUUUGGUUUCGUCAUGUCCUUGUCCAGUCGGGCGGCGAUCUUUAUUACCUCCCCCAAACUUCUUCGUCGUUGUUGGAGGGGGAGUAAGCCCAUUGAUUUCGCCAUUCGGGGACACUAGGUAGGUAGGACAACACGUCUUUUUAUCAAUAUCUCUUUCUCUCAUCCUUCGACUGGACAAAAGUGGGCACGGGAGAGUGUACUCACCGAUCCGCGACCUGUAUCGUAAACAAAGUAACUGUCAUCUGCCUUCUGUACACACGACAGUACACCACUUAACCUACACACAUACAUUGUUCACUGUUUUGUACCGCACAACAACACGUUACCACCUACGACCUUAACGUGUCCACCAUAUGACAUUUUGACCACCAUAUCUAUCGUUUAUGAA
rnacentral:rRNA from 1 species